CCGGGCGGCCGAGUCCUCACACCCCUCCUGCAAAAGUUUUAGUGAACGUAGACGCACCCGGCCCUGGGGCGCUCCGGGGCCAGCUGGCCUAGCCCCUCGGAUUUCGGGGUUCCUCCGGGAGAGUUGCACGCCCCGACGGCGUUUCUCUUUGUCCCCAACUCGGGAUUGGGGACUGUAAUUGAAGGAGGAGUCCAGUCAUGGCUGUAGAGUGGCCAUUGCCCUUAACAGUGGGGGCAUCUUCUGAGGAAUCACCUUCAGAACCUGAGGCACAUCAAUGCUGCUUUUGAAGGCGGAGGUGCUGUUUCGAACCACCUGGAAGUCAUUUGGAGUCCAGUGAAAGAGUCCAUUAAGGGAAAAAUAAAGGUCCGAGUGAAAAGGCAGCAGCAAAACAAAUUGAAGCGUGGAAGUGAAGAGUUCGAAAAGGAGCUGGACAAGAGAACUUCAGGCAGAAGGUAACAGCCU